rnacentral:rRNA from 1 species
CCCUUAGAUGUCCUGGGCCGCACGCGCGUUACACUGAUGCAUUCAACGAGCUUAUAACCUUGGCCGAGAGGCCUGGGCAAUCUUGUUAACGUGCAUCGUGAUAGGGAUAGAUUAUUGAAAUUAUUAAUCUUGAACGAGGAAUCCCUAGUAAACGCAGAUCAUCAAUCCGCAUUGAUUACGUCCCUGCCCUUUGUACACACCGCCCGUCGCACCUACCGAUUGGAUGGUCCGGUGAAGCCUCGGGAUUGUGGUUCUUGCCGCUUUAUUGUGGCGUGACCGCGAGAACUUGUCUAAACCUUAUCAUCUAGAGGAAGGUGAAGUCGUAACA